rnacentral:rRNA from 1 species
AGCUCGUGUCGUGAGUAGUUAGUUCGGGUUAAGUACCCGCAACCGAGACCGUCAACCCCUUAAUUCUAUUACGUUGCUACGUCUAAGGGCACUCUAAUGAGACUGCCGGUGACAAACCGGAGGAAGGUGGGGAUGACGUCAAGUCCUCAUGGCCCUUAUGGGUAGGGCUUCACACGUCAUACAAUGGUCGGUACAGAGGGUUGCCAAGCCGCGAGGCGGAGCCAAUCCCACAAAGCCGAUCGUAGUCCGGAUUGUUCUCUGCAACUCGAGAGCAUGAAGUCGGAAUCGCUAGUAAUCGCAGGUCAGCAUACUGCGGUGAAUACGUUCCCGGGUCUU